CUAACAGCUAGCCUCAAAAAUAAAAAUUUUACUAUUAUGGACUUAAAAACUCAUAAUAAACUUAAACAAAUCAUUUUACCCCCUGAGUACGGGCGACAGAAAAGGAGAAAAGAGCAACAGAUAAAGUACCGCAAGGGAAAGCUGAAAGA
rnacentral:rRNA from 1 species